rnacentral:misc_RNA from 1 species
AAAGUCGUAACAAGGUAACCGUAGGUGAACCUGCGGUUGGAUCAUUAAAAAAAAUAUGGCAUUCGCUCACAGUUUCACUUAACAUCUAGCUAGUUCUUACCCCCACAUGUGCAAGUGUGUUCUUAUAUAGCACACUUGCACCGUCGCGGUAGUUACUUAUCUGUGUUGAAGCAGAGUCACUGUGAUGCGAAUAUGUCCAUCCACAUUUUGUGAAUUGACUCCGUUUCUGGCGGGUGGGGCAGUGAAAGCUGCUUGUCAGCAUCACCACGUUGCGUCUGCAACCUCUGUGGUGCCGUGGACACCCCGUCAAACCCCUUUUGACUUUAUGAAUAUAUGUAUUUUGUCUGACAUUAAUUGUAUCAAUAUACAAAACAACUUUUGGCAACGGAUCUCUUGGCUCUC